GCUUGACUGUAUCCUGGAAUUGGGUUCGGGCUUUUCUUGCGCAGCCUAGGUGGGAGGCAUUGAAGAUUUCUUUCCGGGGAAGUUGGAGCCAUCAUUGAGAGACCACUCUGGAGAGGCUAGAAUCCUAAUGGUGAUCCUUGAAUCAGGACAUGGCGCUGCGGGCAGCUUUGACUGGGGGCGGUCGCCUCCCAAAGUGUCAACGGAGGCGCGCGAUGGUGGGCUCAGAGCGGUCGGAAUCGCUCGUUCGAGUGCAAUGGCAUAAGCCCGCUGACUGCGAGACCUUGACCAAGGUCGAGCAGAGACGAAAGUCGGCCCAUAGUGAUCCGGUGGUUUCUGCGUGGAAGGGCCAUCGCUCAAAGCGAAUAAAAGGUAC
rnacentral:rRNA from 1 species